rnacentral:rRNA from 1 species
AUUGAACGCUGGCGGCAGGCCUAACACAUGCAAGUCGAGCGGAUGAAGGGAGCUUGCUCCUGGAUUCAGCGGCGGACGGGUGAGUAAUGCCUAGGAAUCUGCCUGGUAGUGGGGGAUAACGUCCGGAAACGGGCGCUAAUACCGCAUACGUCCUGAGGGAGAAAGUGGGGGAUCUUCGGACCUCACGCUAUCAGAUGAGCCUAGGUCGGAUUAGCUAGUUGGUGGGGUAAAGGCCUACCAAGGCGACGAUCCGUAACUGGUCUGAGAGGAUGAUUAGUCACACUGGAACUGAGACACGGUCCACACUCCUACGGGAGGCAGAAGUGGGGAAUAUUGGACAAUGGGCGAAAGCCUGCUCCAGCCAUGCCGCGUGUGUGAAGAAGGUCUUCGGAUUGUAAAGCACUUUAAGUUGGGAGGAAGGGCAGUAAGUUAAUACCUUGCUGUUUUGACGUUACCAACAGAAUAAGCACCGGCUAACUUCGUG